ACAAUGUGCACAACAGACAAACCCCCUGGAGGUGGACCAAAUACAGUUUGAGUCAGUUAUGUGGCUCCUGUAUUAAACUAUUCAUAAGAUUCAGUGUGACUCUUGUAAAAGAUGGUUCCAUCAAUUAUGCCUUGGCAUGAGUACACCACUCCUCAACAAGGUGAAAAGAGGAAGAUGGAAGUGUUGUCUCUGUUGCUGAUGUCCAUUUAAAACCAAAGGAUUUCCACGACCAGUGUGAUGUGCUGGUUUCUCUGUUUGUUGAUGUUGCGUCUAUCUGCUGUUUGUUUUUGUUUUUUAUAAAUUCCCAAUUUACAAGAGG